rnacentral:tRNA from 1 species
GGUUCCUUAGCUCAGUUGGUUAGAGCGUGGUGCUAAUAACGCCAAGGUCGCGAGGUAAAUUCUCCUACAAAUCCAGUACACCGCGCAUUGAGCUAACCUUGAAUAAGUUCGACCCUCGUAGGAACCA